AGUGAACGCUGGCGGUAGGCCUAACACAUGCAAGUCGAACGGCAGCACAGUAAGAGCUUGCUCUUACGGGUGGCGAGUGGCGGACGGGUGAGGAAUACAUCGGAAUCUACUUUUUCGUGGGGGAUAACGUAGGGAAACUUACGCUAAUACCGCAUACGACCUACGGGUGAAAGCAGGGGAUCUUCGGACCUUGCGCGAUUGGAUGAGCCGAUGUCGGAUUAGCUAGUUGGCGGGGUAAAGGCCCACCAAGGCGACGAUCCGUAGCUGGUCUGAGAGGAUGAUCGGCCACACUGGAACUGAGACACGGUCCAGACUCCUACGGGAGGCAGCAGUGGGGAAUAUUGGACAAUGGGCGCAAGCCUGAUCCAGCCAUACCGCGUGGGUGAAGAAGGCCUUCGGGUUGUAAAGCCCUUUUGUUGGGAAAGAAAAGCAGCGGGUUAAUACCCCGCUGUUCUGACGGUACCCAAAGAAUAAGCACCGGCUAACUUCGUG
rnacentral:rRNA from 1 species